ensembl:antisense Gm6288 predicted gene 6288
AGUGCUCCCCGCGCUGUUGCGCGUCACACCCGGCUCUCAGACACUGGCUCCGGGACACCGGCUACGCAACCACCCCCCUCCCGGUGACUGCUGGCCCAGGAACCCACGUUGGGGCAGCCCACACACCACCCGGCGUCCAGGACCUCCUCACCGGAAGUUGAUUUCUACCUAGGCCCGCCCAGGCCUGCGCGCGGCGCUCCAGGCAUCCGCGGGCGCAUCACAUGACCCCCCAAGAGGAGGCCAGCUGAGCUUCAUCUGAAGAGAGACCUGACCUGUGAAGUGGAUUGACCUGAUAUACACUGGCCUGACCAUCCUCAAAAACUACAUCAUGUCUUAUCUUUUGUCCUGAGCCAAAACAAACUAUUCAACAGAUAUUCCUCCUAACAGAGAUUCAGCUGGCUAGGCCACAAGAAGAACCUCCUAGUUGAGUGAUUCUCAGAACUCGAAUCUACCACGAGAAGAGCCUUUGCCUCUUACAAACAACCAAAAUGUGAGAACUGAAUAAAGCACCCGGCACUAUGACAUGCUCAAGAAAUGUUUGACGUGAUGUCUGGACCUAUUGGCUUAGCGGAACUCUCAAGUUCCUGAACGUGCCUAAGCUGAAAGCUUCUCUAAACCACUGGAUUUUAAAGAUCUUCAGCGCUAGGACUGUAGCACUUGUAAUCAACUCUAUCAUAGCAGUUCGUUCAUAUUCCACUAAAAACAGUUGAUUUUUAGCUGUUCCACAUCCUUACAGCAAAGCUGUCAGUCAACAUCUUUUCCUGAAGGGAA